rnacentral:rRNA from 1 species
UACGAAGGGGGCGAGCGUUGUUCGGAAUUACUGGGCGUAAAGGGCGCGUAGGCGGCCCUCUUUGUCGCGUGUGAAAGCCCCGGGCUCAACCUGGGAACGGCGCGCGAAACGGGGGGGCUGGAGUUCGGGAGAGGAGCGUGGAAUUCCCAGUGUAGAGGUGAAAUUCGUAGAUAUUGGGAAGAACACCGGUGGCGAAGGCGGCGCUCUGGACCGAGACUGACGCUGAGGCGCGAAAGCUAGGGGAGCGAACAGG